rnacentral:rRNA from 1 species
GACGAACGCUGGCGGCGUGCUUAACACAUGCAAGUCGAACGGAAAGGCCCCUUUGGGGGUACUCGAGUGGCGAACGGGUGAGUAACACGUGAGUAACCUGCCCUUGACUUCGGGAUAACUUCAGGAAACUGGGGCUAAUACCGGAUAGGAAUCCUUGCUGCAUGGUGGGGGUUGGAAAGCUUCGGCGGUUUUGGAUGGACUCGCGGCUUAUCAGCUUGUUGGUGGGGUAGUGGCUUACCAAGGCUUUGACGGGUAGCCGGCCUGAGAGGGCGACCGGCCACAUUGGGACUGAGAUAAGGCCCAGACUCCUACGGGAGGCAGCAGUGGGGAAUAUUGCACAAUGGGCGGAAGCCUGAUGCAGCAACGCCGCGUGCGGGAUGACGGCCUUCGGUUUGUAAAACGCUUUCAGCAGGGGCGAAGCUUGUGGUGACGGUACCUGCAGAAGAAGCACCGGCUAACUACGUG